ACUUUUUCCUCACAGUUAAAGCAAAAGCACUAGCUCGAAAAACUUCUUUGGAGAACACUCGGAACUCAUCAGCUCAUUCCAAAAAUGGACGAACUUUCUGAACAUCAUGUCUUCCAACAGGUUGCUGUCGUGACAGAUAUUGAGUCCUGCCUGAUAUCUCAUCCAUUUCCCUUCGUGGGAAUUAGUGUCCUCAAGGCAGGUCUUUGGAGCUGGAAGGCAAUUUAGUGAUCAGUCUGUCCCAACCCCUUUUUCCUGAAUCCCAGACAGCACGCAUGUGGUUUGAUCAACCUCCCGGGGAUACCCAGGUCACAAAUGGCACAUGAAGUCUCUAAUUCAGCUGGCUGUGUCCUUUGCAACAUUUAAGGAAAGAAAUGGUGUGAUCGAUAGUGUAACAGAGGAGGUUUGCUACCAGUUCAUGUUUCUGGACAGAAUGUGAAUUACCUCUCCUUGCCUCCCCUGAUCUAUAUAUGAUCCAAUGUAAACAGAAAUGUAAA